AUUCAACAAUGACCUCCAUUUUGUGCCAUGUUUCUGGGCCACUGACCUGCACUGAUGGAACUAACGUUGGUAG